CCAAUAGCGUAUAUUAAAGUUGUUGCAGUUAAAAAGCUCGUAGUUGAAUUUCGGGAUUGACACAUCGGUCGUGCCUUAAGGGGUAUGAACUGGUGUAGUCAAUUUCUCACCUUCUGGAGAACCGCGAUGCCCUUAAUUGGGUGUCGCGGGGAACCAGGACCUUUACUUUGAAAAAAUUAGAGUGUUUAAAGCAGGCAUUUUGCUUGAAUACAUUAGCAUGGAAUAAUAAAAUAGGACGGCAUGAUUCUAUUUUGUUGGUUUCUAGGAUCACCGUAAUGAUUAAUAGGGAUAGUUGGGGGCAUUAGUAUUCAAUUGUCAGAGGUGAAAUUCUUGGAUUUAUUGAAGACUAACUACUGCGAAAGCAUUUGCCAAGGAUGUUUUCAUUAAUCAAGAACGAAAGUUAGGGGAUCGAAGACGAUCAGAUACCGUCGUAGUCUUAACCAUAAACUAUGCCGACUAGGAAUCAGACGAUGUUAAUUUUUUAAUGACUCGUUUGGCACUUUACG
rnacentral:rRNA from 1 species